AAUAAUUUUUUUUAAACUGUUUUUUUAAUAGCAUUUAAAAUAGUGCUUUUAUACAAAAAAAGUAACUUUGACCUUCCCAAUGCAAUGCCGAACAAGCACUAUAUUUAUUUUGUUUUGCUAUUCAAUUUUGUUAAAUAUUAAGUCCAUAUCAAUAUUUAAAACUUAUAAAUUAUGUAAAUAUUACUUCUUACACAUCAUUUUAGGCCUCUCCUUUCCAUCUCAUUUUUUUCUUCGCUAACUUAUCAUGUUUUCAUAUUGGAGCAUUUAAUUCCUUUUAACAAAACUAAUUUGUGCUUUUUUCACUUAGCGAUUUAACCACAAAUAAGAUAAACAUGGCAUCAAAUCCAAGUAAGUUCAUGGUAUUACUCAUUAUAUCCCCUUCCUAUAUUCUUAUUCUAGCAUUUUGAAUUUAUGAAUGCUUUUAUUGUAAUCAUUAGAUUACAAUCACAUGCUAUUUGAGUUUGAAAGAGCUCCAAAACAAUCUAAGAGCUAAAAACUAAUGGAUUUCUACUAGUUUUUUGGGAUGAAACUACACUAUUUUGUAAAAGCAAACAAUGGGUUUGGAUCUAGUAAUCUGCAUCAAUAUAAUGUAAGUAAAUCCUAGUAUAACUAUAAAAUUGUACAAGCAACCCAUACUAUAUACUGUCGUCCAUCAAAGAGGGAGAAGUCUCAAACCGAUAUGAGAUAUUAACAUAUUUUCCAUAUGUUUAGGACCAAACAUUUGAAAUGUGAAACACGUAUGAGAGGCCCAAUAUCAACUGAGAAGGUUGUAAUACCAUAUUUUAAAAAAUGAGUCGGAUCUAACUCACUCUAAAAAUCUAAUUCUAAGGGGAAGGAUUGCCCAAGAGAUUAUAAGGAGCACAUUACCAUUAUCUCAAACUGACAUGUGAUUAAUAGUUCUUAAAAAAUCAUGAGAUUUCAAUUUUAAAUUUCAAUAAAAACCUAAUGAACUUAAAAAAAAAAAAUUGUUAUCAUCCACCUUCACACACUUAAUUAUGAGAUGAACAUUAGACUACUUCUAACACACUAUUAUAGAUGAAUGCAUAAAUAAUAUUUUGCAUGGAAUGUAUCAUAAUUACUAAUCAUAAUAAAAUUAUGGGAAAAGUAUAUUUAAGUGCCAUUUACGAGUUUUAUUAAAAAGGGUUUGAGAUUUUCUUUUUUGUACGUAAAAACCUGUGGUUUAACACUGUCAGCACUUAAGGAACAAAAUGACUAACGGUAUUAGAUAUUUACUAAUGUGGCAGGUAUGCACUGACAUGGUGAUGAUGUGACAAACGUGUCAUGACAUCAAUGCCAUGUCAAUGACAAGUCAUCGUCACCUUAGCAUUUUCAUUAUUUUUUUUUACUUUGGGAGCAAAAGGUCAAAGGCACAUUUCACUUAAAUGCCAAAAAAAUAAAGUUAAGACCUUGAAUGCUAAAAGUUUGAAUUUACAUGAUACUAAAAUAUAUUUUACUUUUGAUUUAUAAAUAAAUCCUUAUAUUUUAAUAAAUAAGUCCUUAAAAAUUAUAAUUAUUUUAAUCCAUUUGCCUUUGUCUCUUCCUCUCACUCUGUUUCUCUUGUCCAUAUCUUUCGUCAUCUCUCUUCCUAUUUAGGUCUCUCUCCCUCUAU
rnacentral:misc_RNA from 1 species